UUGUGGAAAAGAAUGCUGUUGGUUUAAUGCACAGAAUUAAGUGUGAAUGGCUGUCAAACUGCUAUAGUUUACUAGUUCUUAAACAUAAAUUGAAGUCUUAUACAUUAAAAAGAAUUCUUAGGGAGAAACGAAUGUCCGGAACAAGGGACCUAAAGAAAUAAUACAAGUGAAUAAAGAGAACUACUUACAAGAAAGCAAUGCAAACCUGAUAAUGGCAACUGGACCUUAUUGUUGAACAGCUGACUCCACAAUUCUUCCAAAACAAGCUCAGAUUUCAUGGGAUGGUUUGAUCUGCAACUGACCUAAAAGCAACCACAUACACCUCUAACAUCUAAUUAAGCCAACGAAAACAACACCGGUCAAAGUGAUGGUACCACCACCAAUAUUCCACGAUGCGGCUCAUGCCAUUUUGGCUUGCUCAGAGAAAAGAAUGAAUUCACAGUCUGAACCCUGAUAUAAAUAUGUAAUCUUGCAACUGUUAAGGCUUCUUCUAUUACUACAAAAUGAAGAGAUAAGAAAUAGAUGUAGUAUCAAAAGAAAUGAAACCAAAAAGAGAGAGAUGAUGAUGACCAAGUAGAGAAAAACACAGAGAAAUCACCAAAACCAGCAAAUGACAAGGAUUUUUUUUUCUUUUUCCGUUAACUACAACCUCUGAGAUGUUCUGUAAAGUGGAUAUACAUUAACCCCCAUUUCCUGCAGUGUCCAUAACUCCAUACUAUGAUUGACUUAGUUUAGAAAAAAAAGAAUGAAUGUAGCCUUGGCAGAAAUGUGAAUAAUCAAGAAAAGACCCAAUCUCCAUGAGGAUUCCAUUCUUAUCAACGCACUGGGACAUAAAGAUUUCUAGAAAGCAGCAGAGAAGAGAGAGCAAUAAACAGUAGAACUUCAGGCAUGUGCUUUCUCUUCCAGGGGCUCAGUUUUCUCAUUUGCAAAAUGUCUCUGCCCCCUCCCUCCAAUAAGUUCUAAAAUUCUUUGGAAUUCAAGAAUUUCACCAAAGGGGUUAAAACAAAAAUAUUUUGCCUAACUCAGAACCAAUGAAAAUGUACCUAUAUGUAAGAA